ACACACAACACACACACACACACACACACACACACACACACACACACACACACACACACACACACACACACACUGACGAGCUGUAGUCCAGGAGGCAGGACACACCAUCUUUGCCUGGACCAGGACAAGGACAAGGACGUAAGAAGGACACUAACGGACUCUAACGGACUUGGGGUGUUUAAGAAUGAGGUGUGCAGUUGUGCAGGGGGCGGACCACUACUGCCCCCUGCUGGUGGGGCAGAUGAUGCACUACCUGCCCCUCACAGCGCUGGCUCGAUACAAACUGCAAACUCAAAGAAUCAAAGCAGGUGUCUGCGUGUGUAGUCACUCCCUCGCACAGACAACAACCUCCGCAGCAGUCAGUGUGUGUUUCCAUGGAGACAGUGUGUGUUUCCCUGGAGACAGUGUGUGUAUCCCUGGAGGUGUUAUGAGAUACAGGGUCAGGGAAGAAGGGGGACUGAGAAACACUGACAUAUCUGAAAGUAAGAAAAUAACGUUUUUUUAAAUCGUGUUGAAGAAUGUUGAGACUGAAAGUCAAAUGCCAUGAUGUGUGUCAUGGAAACAAUCAUGACCCCCCACCCCUCCCGCGAAUUAACCAAUCAGCGCAGGGCACAGGCAGAUGACACUGCUUGAACAGAGACAUCAUAGAGACCUGGGGUCAGCAGCCGAGACAAGCAGUGACUGAGCUGGGGUCAGCAGCCGAGACAAGCAGUGACUGAGCUGGGUGCAGAAAGCAACUCAGGAGCGCCACCUAGUGACUGUCCAGCAAAAUGUGUAUUUUUACAAUCAACAGUCAUAGCGCGGAAGAGUGUUAUGGUGGUGUGUGUGGUGAUUGUAGGUUACGAGGUCAAAGGUCGGCCCGCACGAACGACCACGGACUUCAGAUACUUCUGCUUUUUCUGUUUCCUCCUUUUUUUAGAAAAUGUGUUUUCAGCCUUUGUGGGGUGUGUUCAGAUGAUGACGUAAUUGAAUUAGUGUACGUGUCGGACAGGAAGCCAUGGCCAUUACACAGGAAGUAGGAAAAAGCACUAGAAGCUUCUGGGAUGUGUAGGGUGACGUUGGGGCGUCGUAGUCAUAAAGGUCUUCCAUGGGAAGGGAGAUGAAGACUGUUUUCUGCACAGCGGCGUGUGUGUGUGUGUGUGUGUGUGUGUGUGUGUGUGUGUGUGUGUGUGUGUGUGUGUGUGUGUGUGUGUGUGUGUGUGUGUUUGUGUGUGUAUUGGGGGGUGGAGGGAUCUACAGCCAUGGUGACCAGAGAGGAUAUGGGUCAGUAGCAUUUGGGGUGGAGAGAGGAGGGGGGUGUUGGAGGAUAAGAAAGGAGAAAGAGUGUGUGAGGCUUUGACAGGAGGAGAAAAUAGUGUGUGAGGCUUUGACAGCAGGACAGAGUGUGUGAGGCUUUGACAGCAGGACAGAGUGUGUGAGGCUUUGACAGCAGGACAGAGUGUGUGAAGCUUUGACAGGAGGAGAAAAGAAUGUGUGAGGCUUUGACAGGAAUCUUUGUUCUGAGAAGAUCUGUUUGCUUUUAUUUUCCUGUUUUUGUUUUCGUUUUUUUUCUUUUCUUUUCUUUCCAUAUGCGUGCAUCCUCUGUAGUCUGUAAAAUAUAUAACUUGCACUAGCUUUUUGUAAAAAAAAAAGAAGAAGAAGAAGAAAGAAAGAAAGAAAGAAAGAAAAGAAAACUAAUAUAACAGAAUUAUGGAGGAAGUCAAAUUCUAUUUUCUAACAGUGGUGUAUCUAUUUGUAGGACGCACUCACACCAGUUUUCUUGGAUCUUAUGAUUUGAGGGUCCUUUUUGGGGGAUUUUAUUUUAUUUUAUUUUGAUGGUGCUUGCCUGUUUUUCUAGGUAGAAUUGAUUUCAUUUGUAUGGAUAACAAAACACACACACACACACAAAACAAUGUUUGAUUCAGGUUGUGAACAAAUUUGUAAAAAAAAAAUGGAAAGAAAAGAAAGUGUCUGUAUACCAGUACAAGUCUAUUGUUUCAGUAUACACGUACUAAUAAAACACAACUACAGUGCCAAC